AUGCCUGUCAUAAGAUAUACUGCUGGCAUUAUAAACUGGACACAGAUGGAACUGGACAAUUUGGACAGAAAAACAAGAAAACUCAUGACCAUUCAUCACUCACUGCACCCUCGCAGUGAUGUUGACCGGCUAUAUCUGCCUAGAAGAUCAGGGGGCAGAGGACUACAGCACCACACAUACGAUGUCAUAGGCAUCACUGAAACCUGGUGGGAUGACUCCCAUCACUGGAAUGUAGCCAUUGAGGGCUAUAACCUCUUUCACAGAAAUAGAACAAAGGGGAGAGGAGGGGGAGUACCUUUAUAUGUCAAAAACAGUUACGUUGCAGAAGAAAUGGAAGACUGUAAUCUGGGAAACCAGCUUGAAAGCAUCUGGAUAAGAAUCAAGGGAACCGGGACUCAAAAAGAUCUUGUCGUGAGUGUCUACUACAGACCUCCGAGUCAGGAUGAAGGACUUGAUGAAGCCUUCUGUCAGCAGCUGACCAAACAGGCACAAAGAAGAGAUAUAGUAGUCAUGGGCGAUUUCAACUAUCUCGAUAUCUGCUGGAAAACAAACUCAGCCAAGAGUACAAAGUCCAACAAAUUCCUCACUUGCCUUGCAGACAAUUUUAUGGUCCAGAAGGUAGAAGAGGCAACAAGGGGAUUGGCUACUCUUGAUCUAAUCUUAACAAAUGUGGAAGACCUGAUCAAUACAGUCGAAGUGGUCGGAUCCUUAGGGGCAAGUGACCAUGUGCUCCUGCAGUUUGCAGUACAAAGGAAGGCUGAAACUAAGACAAGUCAAACACACAUUCUGGACUUUAAGAGAGCUGACUUCCAAAAAAUGAAGGAAUUACUGAGCGGCAUUCCAUGGAUGCCAAUAUUAAAAGAUAAGGGAGUUAAGGAUGGAUGGGAGUUUUUAAAAAGUGAAAUACUCAAGGCGCAAAUGCAAACAGUGUCAACAAAGAAGAAAAAUAAGACAAGUGCAAAGAAGCCAGAAUGGAUGUCCAAAGAACUUCUAACCGAGCUAAGACUCAAAAGUGACAUGCACAAGAAGUGGAAAAGGGGAGAAAUCACCAAAGAAGAAUUCAAACGUAUAGCCAACUCCUGUAGGGGAAAGGUUUGCAAGGCUAAAGCGCAAAAUAAGCUCAGGCUUGCCAGGGACAUAAAAAACAACAAAAAAGGUUUUUUUGCAUACGUUGGAAGAAAAAGGAAGAACAAGGAGGCGAUAGGGCCACUGCGAGGAAAAGAUGGGGUGAUGGUGACAAGGGACAGGGAAAAGGCAGAACUACUUAAUCCCUUCUUUGCCUCGGUCUUCUCAGAAAAAGAAAGCCAUCUUCAACCCCAGCAACAUGGAAUGGAUGAAGGAUUGGGGGAAAUCCAACCCCAAAUAGGGAAACAAGUUGUCCAGGAACACCUGGCCUCUCUAAACGAAUUCAAGUCCCCAGGGCCAGAUCACCUAUAUCCAAAAGUAUUGCAGGAACUAGCGGAAGUUAUUUCAGAACCACUGGCAAUUAUCUUCGAGAGUUCUUGGAGAAUGGGAGAAGUCCCAGCAGAUUGGAGGAGGGCGAAUGUGGUCCCUGUCUUCAAGAAGGGAAAAAAGAACGACCCAAACAAUUACCGUCCGGUUAGCCUCACGUCGAUACCAGGCAAGAUUCUGGAAAAGAUCAUUAAGGAAGUGGUCUGCAAACACUUAGAAACAAAUGCGGUCAUUGCUAAUAGUCAACACGGAUUUACCGAAAACAAGUCAUGCCGACUAAUCUGAUCUCUUUUUUCGAUAGCGUUACGAGUUGGGUCGAUACAGGAAAUGCUGUGGAUGUAGCGUACCUAGAUUUCAGUAAGGCCUUCGACAAAGUCCCCCACGACCUUCUGGCAAACAAACUACUAAAAUGUGGACUAGACAAAACUACAGUUAGGUGGAUCUGUAAUUGGCUAAGCAAACGAACCCAAAGGGUGCUCACCCUUCUUGGAAAGAAGUCAUGAGUGGAGUGCCGCAGGGUUCUGUCCUGGGCCCGGUUCUGUUCAACAUCUUUAUUAAUGACUUAGAUGAAGGGUUAGAAGGCACGAUCAUCAAGUUUGCAGAUGAUACCAAACUGGGAAGGAUAGCUAAAACUCCAGAAGACAGUAGCAGAAUUCAAAACAAUCUUGACAGACUAGAGAGAUGGGCCGAAACUAACAAAAUGAAGUUCAACAGGGACAAAUGCAAGAUACUUCACUUAGGCAGAAAAAAUGGAAUGCAAAGAUACAGAAUGGGGGAUGCUUGGCUUGACAGCAGUACAUAUGAAAAAGACCUCGUGGAUUCCUCGUAGACAACAAGUUAAACAUGAGCCAACAAUGUGAUGCGGCUGCUAAAAAAGCCAACGGGAUUCUGGCCUGCAUCAAUAGGGGAAUAGCGUCUAGAUCCAGGGAAGUCAUGCUCUCCCUCUAUUCUGCCUUGGUCAGACCACACCUGGAAUACUGUGUCCAAUUUUGGCACCGC
rnacentral:lncRNA from 1 species